GCUGGAAACGGAGCAGGGCCGCGCCGCCGCGCGCGUACGCG
rnacentral:SRP_RNA from 13 species